UAAAUUCAAAAACAUUUCAUGAUUCAUGAAAUCAGUUUUGAAUUUUUAAUAGUUUUUAAGACUACCAAAUUCUUAAUAAGUUCCCCCACCUUAAAUGUUCAUUAAAUGAAACCCUAUAGUGCACCCACACCCCCUUCAACAUUUUCCAGAGCGCCAGGCAGGCAAAGCCAAAAUGGCGCAGAUUUUCUAAAUUUUGUGCUUCGAAAGGAUAAGAGUUCAGUUUGCUCGAAUCUGUCUGGAACGGAGCCCUGUGACGGUCUGGAACGGAGCCCUGUGACGGUUAGGAACGAAGCUCUGCGACGAUUUGGAACUAAGAUUAUUUCCAAUUUGGAACAAAAUCUUGAGCAUUCUGACUUUCAGUGGAACAUUUCGGAACGCGACAACCUAACGGUCUGGAACGCGGAACUCGAAACAUCUAAGAAUCGUUUAAAAUCUGUGUGUCUGCGGUUCUAUUUUGUAAAGUACAAUUGAAGACAAAUCACGCCAA